CCGGUGCUGGGAUCCCGGAGCAGGAGGGUUUGGCCAUGGCCUCCAACGGCUCCUCUGGAAUUCGGGAUUCCCCCCUGGAGACAGGAAUUUUCCUGGAUGAGGAUCUGGGAUCCGACUGGUACCUCUACGAAUCCACGGAAUCUGCGCUGGGAGAUGAGUGAGUGUUCCCUUCCCACGGAGCAAAUCCCUGGAUUUUGGGCCCUUCUACAAAUCCUGGAAUUUUUGGUCAUUCCCUGAUUUAUUCCCGGAUUUUUUGCCUCACCAAAAUCUGGGAUUUUUCCCAGAAUUUUCCCAUCCCCUGCAAGGUUAACCCCAAAUCUGGGAUUUUUCCCAUUUUUCCAGAAUUUUCCCCAUCCCUUUCAGGGUUAAAGCCCCAAAAUUUGGGAAUUUUCCUGUUUUUCCAGGGUUUUCCCCGUUCCUUUCUGGGUUAAACCCCCAAAAUUUGGGAUUUUUCCCGUUUUUCCAGCCUUCUUCCCGACGCCAUCCCGGAAUGCCACCCCACCAUUUCCCCCCGGCUCUACCACACCAUCAUGGCUCCCGUUUCCCUGGCCGUGAUCCUGGCCUUGUCCUUCCCGGCCAAGCGUCGCCGUCUCCACCGGAGCUGCUGGAGCGGCGUCCCGGGAUUGCUCAGCUCCGGGAAUCUGGAGGAGGACGGGAGCCGCGCUCCGGCCGCCGCCGCCUUCGCCCUGCAGAUCUCGGCGCUUUUCCAGCUGCUGCUGGACCGGGAACCGCUGCCCCUGGCAGCGCCCGCCGGACACGGAGCGCGCGGUGAGAG
rnacentral:lncRNA from 1 species